CAAUAGCGUAUAUUAAAGUUGUUGCAGUUAAAAAGCUCGUAGUUGGACCUGUGCAUGUCCCUAGGUGUCCAUAUUGUUUGGUACGUUCUAGGGCGUGCAUCCUUGGGUGGAACCUGUGUGGCAUUAGGUUGUCGUGCAGGGGAUGCUCAUCGUUUACUGUGAAAAAUUAGAGUGUUCAAAGCAGGCUUAUGCCGUUGAAUAUAUUAGCAUGGAAUAAUAAGAUAGGACCUUGGUACUAUUUUGUUGGUUUGCGCACCGAGGUAAUGAUUAACAGGGACAGUUGGGGGUAUUCGUAUUCCAUUGUCAGAGGUGAAAUUCUUGGAUUUCUGGAAGACGAACUACUGCGAAAGCAUUUACCAAGGAUGUUUUCAUUAAUCAAGAACGAAAGUUAGGGGAUCGAAGACGAUUAUAUACCAU
rnacentral:rRNA from 1 species